CCCUUAGAUGUCCUGGGCUGCACGCGCGCUACACUGACAUAAACAACAAGUUUGCCCUGGUUCGAAAGGAUUCGGGUAAUCUUUGAAAUUAUGUCGUGAUAGGGAUAGACUAUUGAAAUUAUUAGUCUUCAACGAGGAAUUCCUAGUAAGCGUAAAUCAUCAGUUUGCGCUGAUUACGUCCCUGCCCUUUGUACACACCGCCCGUCGCUCCUACCGAUUGAGUGCUCUGGUGAACAUUCCAGAUUGUUAUUGAUGGAGAUCUUCUCUGUCUUUAGCGAGAAGUUAUGUAAAUCACACCACUUAGAGGAAGGAGAAGUCGUANCA
rnacentral:rRNA from 1 species